rnacentral:rRNA from 1 species
CCAAUAGCGUAUAUUAAAGUUGUUGCAGUUAAAAAGCUCGUAGUUGAAUUUCGGGAUCAAUAUAUCGGUCGUGCCUUGGUACGUACUGGUAUCAUUGGCUUCUCAUUUCUGACGAACCAUGAUGUCAUUAAUUUGGUGUUAUGGGAAGUUAGGACUGUUACUUUGAAAAAAUUAGAGUGUUUAAAGCAGGCUUUAGCUUGAAUACAUUAGCAUGGAAUAAUGAAAUAGGACGUUCGAACCUAUUUUGUUGGUUUCUAGGAUCAACGUAAUGAUUAAUAGGGAUAGUUGGGGGCAUUAGUAUUCAAUUGUCAGAGGUGAAAUUCUUGGAUUUAUUGAAGACUAACUACUGCGAAAGCAUUUGCCAAGGAUGUUUUCAUUAAUCAAGAACGAAAGUUAGGGGAUCGAAGACGAUCAGAUACCGUCGUAGUCUUAACCAUAAACUAUGCCGACUAGGGAUCGGAUGAUGUUAAUUUUUUAAUGACUUAUUCGGCGCCUUACG